rnacentral:rRNA from 1 species
AGAGUUUGAUCCUGGCUCAGGAUGAACGCUAGCGACAGGCUUAACACAUGCAAGUCGAGGGGCAUCAUGAGGUAGCAAUACCUUGAUGGCGACCGGCGCACGGGUGAGUAACGCGUAUGCAACCUGCCCGAUACCGGGGUAUAGCCCAUGGAAACGUGGAUUAACACCCCAUAGUACUUUUAUCCUGCCUGGGAUGGGAGUUAAAUGUUCAAGGUAUCGGAUGGGCAUGCGUCCUAUUAGUUAGUUGGCGGGGUAACAGCCCACCAAGACGAUGAUAGGUAGGGGUUCUGAGAGGAAGGUCCCCCACAUUGGAACUGAGACACGGUCCAAACUCCUACGGGAGGCAGCAGUGAGGAAUAUUGGUCAAUGGACGAGAGUCUGAACCAGCCAAGUCGCGUGAGGGAAGACUGCCCUAUGGGUUGUAAACCUCUUUUAUAAGGGAAGAAUAAGUUCUACGUGUAGAAUGAUGCCUGUACCUUAUGAAUAAGCAUCGGCUAACUCCGUGCCAGCAGCCGCGGUAAUACGGAGGAUGCGAGCGUUAUCCGGAUUUAUUGGGUUUAAAGGGUGCGUAGGCGGUUUAUUAAGUUAGUGGUUAAAUAUUUGAGCUAAACUCAAUUGUGCCAUUAAUACUGGUAAACUGGAGUACAGACGAGGUAGGCGGAAUAAGUUAAGUAGCGGUGAAAUGCAUAGAUAUAACUUAGAACUCCGAUAGCGAAGGCAGCUUACCAGACUGUAACUGACGCUGAUGCACGAGAGCGUGGGUAGCGAACAGGAUUAGAUACCCUGGUAGUCCACGCCGUAAACGAUGCUCACUGGUUCUGUGCGAUAUAUUGUACGGGAUUAAGCGAAAGUAUUAAGUGAGCCACCUGGGGAGUACGUCGGCAACGAUGAAACUCAAAGGAAUUGACGGGGGCCCGCACAAGCGGAGGAACAUGUG